rnacentral:rRNA from 1 species
AACGCGAAGAACCUUACCAGCCCUUGACAUCCCGGUCGCGGACUUCAGAGAUGAGGUCUUUCAGUUCGGCUGGACCGGUGACAGGUGCUGCAUGGCUGUCGUCAGCUCGUGUCGUGAGAUGUUGGGUUAAGUCCCGCAACGAGCGCAACCCUCGCCUCUAGUUGCCAGCAUUCAGUUGGGCACUCUAGAGGGACUGCCGGUGAUAAGCCGCGAGGAAGGUGGGGAUGACGUCAAGUCCUCAUGGCCCUUACGGGCUGGGCUACACACGUGCUACAAUGGCGGUGACAGUGGGACGCGAAGGGGUGACCCUUAGCAAAUCUCCAAAAGCCGUCUCAGUUCAGAUUGCACUCUGCAACUCGAGUGCAUGAAGGUGGAAUCGCUAGUAAUCGUAGAUCAGCAUGCUACGGUGAAUACGUUCCCGGGCCUUGUACACACCG